CACAUCAGUUUUUAAGGUUAUAAAAUUAGGACCUUAAGGCAUGUUUACUUUACAGAUAAAAAAAAAAGACAGAGAAAUUCAAAAGCAAUAGCUGACAGCUCACUACAGCAUAUAUCAGAUGCUACUGUACAUGCAGGGGGAGAAUGGCUUUAACGAGCCCUGUCACUUUGCUCUCUUUUAAUUAAAUGAUGGGCUGUAUAUAGAACAGGAGUCUGUGCUUGUUGGGAAUAAAAAGAUUAAUGAUCUGGCUGGAGCACUAAGCUAAAUUGCACUGCAGUGCUGGAAACCUGCUUGGUAAGGGGACUGCCUUUUCUGCUCAACCACAGCAACAAAUGUUUUAGGAGGUUACUCAUCUUCUACAUCAUGAAAGAUUGUGUCCCUACAUCCAAUUCAGAGACAAACCUAUCUGACAGGGAAGCCUGAUGCUGGAUGCUGAUAGAGAGGCAGUAUGCUUCCUUUCUGUGCAAGAGGAGGCUAACAGCAUGGUUGUACCUGCACACAAUUUCUUGAUGGACACACCCUGGUGCUGGCAGUGCUCUGACUUACAGCCAGCAAGGAGGUCUUCCAAUUUCUCCCUGGCAACCGGGUGUGGAGGAGGGGACAAGGACAGCAGUCACUUACUGCACUUCCCGAAAGCAUUUAUCAGUCAUGUGCAACAGGUCAAUUAUACCUGAAUUUAUAAAAAUAAUGAGCAAGUUAUAAAAUCAAAUGCAGAUACAGUAAACACACUUCUUACCUUUUCUCCUUUAGGCCCUCUUAUUCCAGGUAAUCCGGGUGGGCCCUUAUAAUAAAACAAUAUUUGUUUAUAAAUCAUUCAGAUAGCCAUCUAAAUUAGUUUUAUUGUCCACAACAUCCCACUACAAAGAUAUGUCUGCUUCUGGAAGAGCGCAGCUGCAGUUUCAAUUAACUUAAGGCUGACUGGUCUCUAUUGAUUUUAAAAGUGCCUUGUGGGUCUCUUUGUGAUAUACUGAAAUGCUGCUGUAGUCCAGUUGGUGCUGUAACAGCCUGAAAUGAGCAGCUU